AGAUCAUGACCUGAGCUGAAACCAAGAGCUGGACACUGACCUGACUGAGCCAUCCAGGCAUCCCUCUUUUUUUUUUUUUUUUUUUAGGUAGACUCCACUCCUGAGUUGGGACUUGAAUUCUUUUGACGCUGAGAUCAAGAGACCCAUGUUCUACUGACUGAGCCAACUGCCCUAGUCUUUUCAUUUUCUUUUUUUUAAAGAUUUUAUUUAUUUAUUUGACAGAGAGAAAUCACAAGUAGACAGAGAGGCAGGCAGAGAGAGAGAGAGAGAGAGAGAAGCAGGCUCCCUGCUGAGCAAAGAGCCCGAUGCAGGACUCCAUCCCAGGACCCCGAGAUCAUGACCCGAGCCGAGGGCAGCGGCUUUAACUCACUGAGCCACCCAGGUGCCCCUAGUUUUAGAAAAAAUUUUAUCACUCCUACAGAGUCCCUAUACUUUGUUUACAACUGAUCCUCAGUUUCACUGCAGGUCACUGAUCUGUUUUCUGUUUUUCUAAAUUUGUCUUUUCUGAACAUUUCAUACAAAUGGGGUCAUCAAAUAUGUGGUCUUUAAUUUUUAUUUAUUUGACAGAGAUCACAAGUAGGCAGAGAGGCAGGCAAAGAAAGAGAGGGGGAAGCAAGCUCCUUGCUGAGCAGAGAACCCAAUGUGUGGCUUAAUCCUUGGACCCUGGGAUCAUGACCUGAGCCAAAGGCAGAGGCUUAACCCACUGAGCCACCCAGGCACCCCAAUGACUUAGAAUUUUUUAAGGUUCAUCCAUGUUGAAGCAUGUAUCAGUUUUUGCCUCUUUAUUGCUGAGUCAUAGUCCAUUGUAUGGCUAUGAUCUGCUAAUGGACAUUUGGAUUGCUUUUAGGGUUUUUUGUUUUUUAGCUAUUAUGAAUAUUUUUGGAGCUGCUGUGAGCAUUUGCAUACCAUUCUUGGUGUAGAUGUGUUUUUAUUUUUCUUGAGAGGUUUCCCUAGAGUAGAAUUUUUGGGUCCUAUGAUAAGCUUAUGAUUUAAUUUUUAAGAAACUGCCAGACUAUUUUCCAAGGUAACUAUAACAUUUUAUAUUCCCACUAUGUGUAAGAGUUCUAGUUCUUCCACAUCCUCACUAACAUUUGGUAUCACCUGUGUUUUUAUUUGUUUGUUUGUUUAUUUAUUUAAAGUAGGCUCCACACUUAAUGUGGAGCUAGAACUCUAAACUGUGAGAUCAAGAGUCACACACCCUACGGACUGAGCCAGCCAGGUACCCCUGGCAUUAUCUGCAUUUUAAGAAUUGUAACCAUUCUGUGUGUGUACAUGUGUCAUGGUAUUUUAUGGUUUUAUUAUUUUUUAAAGAUUUUUAAAAAAGAUUUUAUUCUUUUAAGUAAUUUCUACACCCAACAUGGGGCUUGAACUUGCAACUCCAAGAUCAAGAGACAUACUGAGCCAGCCAGGUUAUCUUGUGGUUUUAAUUUGCAUUUCCCUGAUGGCUAAUCAUUUUUUAAUAUGGUGCUUAGCCAUUCAUGUACCUUUUUUCCCCAUAAAAUUCCUAUUCAUGUUUUUCUGUUCAUCUUAAAAUGGUUUAGAUUCUUUUCAUUAUUGAGCUUUGAGAGUUACAUAUUGUGGAUACUGGUCGGUUAUAAGAUUAUAAGGUAGGUAAUAAUCGGAAAAUAAUUUCUCCAUUUUUGACUUUGCAUUUUCUUUCUUUUUUUAAGAUUUUAUUUACUUGACAGACACAGAUCACAAGUAGGCAGAGAGGAAGGCAGAGAGAGAUGAAGGGAAGCAGGUGCCCUGCUGAAGAGCCUGAUGCAAGGCUGGAUCCCAGGACACUGGGAUCAUGACCUGAGCUGAAGGCAGAGACUUUAACCCACUGAGCCACCCAGGCACCCCUACUUUUCUUGAUCUUGCCUUUGUAGCAAAAGUUCUUAAUGAAGUUCAGCUUACCCAUAUUGAGUUGGUUUUAUCUGUGGUAAGGGUCACAGUUUUGCUUUGUUUCUGCGUACUGAUAGCCAGUUCUCUUGGGUCUCAUUUGUUGAAAGGGGCAGGUACCUUUGAGCAGAGCGGGUUGUGCAAGCCCAGGGCCAUUUUGCCAGCAGUCGGCCUGCAUAGGGUUGAGCAGAAUGCGGUAGCGUGCUGGUGCUCCAUGGUGAGCAAAGAAAGGAUGGGCGGAUUAGCAAGGGCCCUGGUCUGGCCUCAGUUCGUUUUUGGAGAUACUUUGUGCCUCGGCUGGGUAUUUUGUGGCGACUCCGGGCGGUACUACGAUUCCCAGCAUGCACUGCGCGGGCCUGCCCUCUGCGGGGGCAAAGCUAGACAGACCUGGAAGUGUGGCUGCGAGGGAAGGGAUGGGACACGGUUUCUAGUACCGAGAUCGAUUUCUCAGGGUUUUGGCCUGCGCGAAGGACUAGCAAGCCGAACCCUGAGAAGUACCACUUCCGCCCUCUGGUCCGCCGUAGCCUCUCUCACGCAUCGCUACCCGACUCGUUUCUUCCUCGAGGUUCCCGCGGGCACUAACCCUUGAAGAGGACCAACCGCAGCCGAGAGUUUUGCCGGCCGGGCCAACCAGAGGCGAGAUGGAAGAGGCGGGGGUGGGAGCCGCCACAGUGUCCAGGAGAUAGUCCAUUUCUCCUGUAAAGGGCGAGUCGCUCCUGCUGGGGCCCGGAGGGGAGCAAAGGAGCUGCGGGGGGUUUCGGAAGCGGAAGGACCCCUCCCCGCUCCGGUGGGGACCGCGGCGGGGCCGGGCUUACCUUUCAGGGUUCCCCUCCAGGUGUCCAACCCCAGCCUAGACCACCAUGUCGCACCAGAACCCUCUGGGCACCUCAGUGCCACACACCAGCUGCCUAGACCUGUGGAGGGAAAAGAAUGACCAGCUCGUUCGACAGGCCAAGGUGGCUCAGGACUCGGGUCUGUCUCUGAGGCGACAGCAGUUGGCUCAAGAUUCACUGGAAGGGUUCAGGGGACUCCUCCAUAGUCUGAGGGGGCUCCCUGCAGCUGUUCCUGUUCUCCCCUUGGAAUUGACUGUUACCUGCAAUUUCAUUACCCUGAGGGCGAGCCUGGCCCAGGGUUUCACUGAGGACCAGGCACAGGAUAUCCAACAGGGCCUGGAGAGAGUGCUGGAGACCCAGAAGAAGUUGGGGCCCAGACUGGAAUGUGGGCUCAGGGGGCUGUGGGACUCCGUUCUCCAUUAUUCCACCCUUCUCCUGGAGGUGCUCCCUGCCCUUCACCACCUGGCUGGCCUGCAGGCUGCCGUCUGGCUAAGCACUGACUGUUUGGGGGACUUGACCUUCUUGCUGCAGACCUUGAAUGGCAACCAGAGCGAGGCCUCUGAGAAUCUGCUGCUGCUUCUGAAAACUUGGAGCCCUCCAGCUGAGGAGUCAGAUGCUCCACUGACCCUGCAGGAUGCCCGGGGCUUAAGGGAUAUCCUUCUUACAGCUUCUGCCUAUCGCCAAGGCCUCCAGGAGCUGAUCACAGGAAGCCUGCCCAGGGCACUGAGCAGCCUACAGGAAGCAGCCUCAGGUCUAUGCUCACGACCUGUGUUGGUCCAGGUGUACACGGCUCUGGGGACCUGUCUCCGUAAAAUGGGCAAUCCACAAAGAGCUCUGCUGUACUUGGCUGCAGCCCUGAAAGGGGGGUCAACGUGUGGUCCCCCACUUCUGGAGGCCUCUAGGCUGUAUCGGCAACUGGGGAACACAGCAGCAGAGCUGGAGAGUCUGGAGCUGUUGGUUGAGGCCUUGAAUGUCACUCACAGUUUUGAAGCCCCUCAGCUUCUCAUUGAAGUAGAGUUACUACUCCCCAGACCUCACCCAGCCUCACCCCUUCAUUGUGGCACACCGAGCCAGGCCAAGUACUUGCUAGCAAGCCGAUGUUUACAGGUGGGAAGGGCAGAGGAUGCUGCAGAGCAUUACUUGGACCUACUGGCUCUGGUGCUGGAUGGCUCAGAAUCAAAGUUCUUUCCCCCGCCUUCCCCUCCAGGGCCUUGUAUGCCUGAGGUGUUCUUAGAGGCAGCUGCAGCACUGAUCCAGGCUGGCCGAGCCCAGGAUGCCUUGACUGUAUGUGAGGAGCUACUCAGCCGCACAUCAUCUCUGCUUCCCAAGAUGCCCCAGCUGAGGGAAGAUGCCAGAAAAGGAACCAAAGAGUCACCACACUGCCCAUCCUGGGUCUCUGCAACCUACCUGCUUCAGGGUCAAGCCUGGGUGCAGCUGGGGGCCCCAAAAGAGGCAAUUAGUGAAUUUAGCCGGUGCCUUGAGCUGCUUUUCCGGACCACACCUAAGGAUGAAGAACAAGGGCCUGCUUCCAAUCGUGAGAAGGGGUGUAUAUCAGAUGUGGCACUACAACAGCUUCGGGCAGCUGCCCUGAUUAGUCGUGGACUUCAGUGGGUGGCCGUUGACCAAGAUACGAAAGCCCUACAGGACUUCCUUCUCAGUGUGCAAAUGUGCCCAGACUCUGAGGAGAAUGGAUCGGAGGCAUGAGGCCACUGCUCUCUGGUGGAGGCUAAAGGCCCAAACAGAGUUGCCACAGGAGAAUGCUGCAUGGUCUCUCCCCCUGUACCUAGAAACCUAUCUGGACUGGAUUCAUUCCCCUGACCGUGAAACCCUUCUUGAGGAGUUUCAGACAUCUCUGCCGGAGCCUCAUGAACUGUAGCUGCCACAUUUUAAAGAGCCUGAGCUGGGGCUCCAGUGGCCCAUUUCUCCGUGGGGACGGCUUUCUGCUUUACCAUUCUUGAGGAGUGUGGGUGAAAUGGAUCAUUCCUGUAUAAGUCUGGUAUUGGUGAAGUUGGUAGGAGUCCUGCAAAAUUUGGCCUAGUUACUGCCAUUCUGGUUCCUUUGCCACCAAAAAGGCAUUAACUUUGCUAUGACUGACACCUUUUUUUCCUAUAUUCCUGUUAAUUGUGUUGAGUAAAAUGCAUAUUUAUCUCUU